rnacentral:rRNA from 1 species
GUGGGGAAUCUUGCGCAAUGGGCGAAAGCCUGACGCAGCCAUGCCGCGUGAAUGAUGAAGGUCUUAGGAUUGUAAAAUUCUUUCACCGGGGACGAUAAUGACGGUACCCGGAGAAGAAGCCCCGGCUAACUUCGUGCCAGCAGCCGCGGUAAUACGAAGGGGGCUAGCGUUGCUCGGAAUUACUGGGCGUAAAGGGCGCGUAGGCGGUCAGUUUAGUCAGAGGUGAAAGCCCAGGGCUCAACCUUGGAAUUGCCUUUGAUACUGGCUGUCUUGAGUACGGGAGAGGUGAGUGGAACUCCGAGUGUAGAGGUGAAAUUCGUAGAUAUUCGGAAGAACACCAGUGGCGAAGGCGACUCACUGGCCCGUUACUGACGCUGAGGCGCGAAAGCGUGGGGAGCAAACAGGAUUAGAUACCCCGGUAGUCC